GACGAACCGAGCGAACGUUAUUCGGAAUCACUGGGCUUAAAGGGCGCGUAGGCGGGCUGCCAAGUCAAGGGUGAAAGCCCCCGGCUCAACCGGGGAAGUGCCUCUGAUACUGGCGGCCUCGAGGGAGGUAGGGGCGUGCGGAACUUCCGGUGGAGCGGUGAAGUGCGUAGAUAUCGGAAGGAACACCGGUGGCGAAAGCGGCGCGCUGGACCUCUUCUGACGCUGAGGCGCGAAAGCCAGGGGAGCGAACGGG
rnacentral:rRNA from 1 species